ensembl:lncRNA
AGAGAAAACAAUAGAGCAUUGAACAGUUUGAUCUUUGUCUCGUCUGACCUCAUUACAUUCUCCCAGUAACCUACAGGCUUCUCCAAAUGUUCUGUAGCAAGCUUGAAACGAGCUUCAACAUGCCUUUUCUACAGUAAUGGAAUCAAGGCGUGAUGGUGAAUGGAGACUGUAGCAGUAUUGCGCACUGCAUAUUGCUUUCUCUGACGACUGUACUCGCUGCUUCCAGUUCUUUCUGGAGAGCUUUUCGAGUGGUCCUCGGCUCUUGGGCUUCUCCUCUGCGUAACUUUGUCAGCCCUGUCAGAAAUCUUGCGAGGAGCUCCUGCGUGUGGCCGGUUGAUAGUCACCUAAUGGUGCUUAAAGGAACAUUUGGGAGUAAUUCUUUGGAGAGCGCUUUGCUUCUACUCAUCAUGAGAUGUUUCUUGCGCGACAGUUUGGUGACAAAUGAUUUGUUUACUUGUAUUCAGAGGUGGGUUCCCCUUUUCCACAGAGUGGACGUACUAACCUACCAUCAUACACUAACCCAGCUGAUUCUAAUUAGCACAGGUAGGAGAACUGUUUUUUCUUGUUCAAUACUUAAUUCCUGUGUCAUUCCACUUUAUUGCACAUAACUUUUUUAUGGAUUGGUAUAUUAUGAUUUCUUUAGCGGUGUAGCUUCAUCGAGUUAACACCCAUGUCGGGUCUACAUUUCAUGUGAAAACAUUUAUAUGGACAGCGGUAAUCUAAUUAUUGACCUUAUUCUGAAUAAGACAAUACUGUGAUUAAGGUGUUUACAUGAGUCGCUUUUAGAAUAUCCCUGUUUUAUAUAUUAUAAAACACAGAUCGACUAAAACAGAAAUACUCCACACGUCUUAAUUUGUUUUGUGUUUACAUGAGUCGCUUUUAGAAUAUCCCUGUUUUAUAUGUUAUAAAACACAG